GACGAACGCUGGCGGCGUGCUUAACACAUGCAAGUCGAACGAAGAGCGAUGGAAGCUUGCUUCUAUCAAUCUUAGUGGCGAACGGGUGAGUAACGCGUAAUCAACCUGCCCUUCAGAGGGGGACAACAGUUGGAAACGACUGCUAAUACCGCAUACGAUCUAAUCUCGGCAUCGAGGAUAGAUGAAAGGUGGCCCCUACAUGUAAGCUAUCACUGAAGGAGGGGAUUGCGUCUGAUUAGCUAGUUGGGGGGGUAACGGCCCACCCAGGCGAUGAUCAGUAGCCGGUCUGAGAGGAUGAACGGCCACAUUGGGACUGAGACACGGCCCAGACUCCUACGGGGGGCAGCAGUGGGGAAUCUUCCGCAAUGGACGAAAGUCUGACGGGGCAACGCCGCGUGAGUGAUGACGGCCUUCGGGUUGUAAAGCUCUGUUAAUCGGGACGAAAGGCCUUCUUGCGAAUAGUGAGAAGGAUUGACGGUACCGGAAUAGAAAGCCACGGCUAACUACGUG
rnacentral:rRNA from 1 species